UAAAACCAGCUCAUAGAGUGGUGAUCAUGAUUAUUUGGCUUAAAGUGUGCGUAGCAGGGAAUUCUAAGUCCUCUGUGAAAUGUCAGGUCUUAAGCUUGACACGUGCAGAAGAUACUGGAAUCCUUGGGACUGGGAUAGGUGUACUGUACGGUUUGGGUAGGGGUGAAAUCCGAUAAUCCAAGCCGGACAACCGGUGGCGAAGGCGGUACACUGGAACAGGUCCGACUGUGAGGCACGAAAGCUAGGGUCGCGAGCCGGAUUAGAUACCCGGGUAGUCCUAUGCCGUAAACGAUGCUCACUAAGUGUUAGGUAAUGCAAGACAUUCUCUAGUGCCGAAGCGAAAGCGUUAAGUGAGCCGCCUGGGAAGUACGUUCGCAAGAAUG
rnacentral:rRNA from 1 species